rnacentral:rRNA from 1 species
CCUACGGGGGGCAGCAGUGGGGAAUAUUGGGCAAUGGGGGCAACUCUGACCCAGCAACGCCGCGUGAAUGAUGAAGGUCUUCGGAUUGUAAAGUUCUUUUCUAAGGGAAGAAGAAAGUGACGGUACCUUAGGAAUAAGCCUCGGCUAACUACGUGCCAGCAGCCGCGGUAAUACGUAGGGGGCAAGCGUUAUCCGGAAGGACUGGGCGUAAGGGGGGCGUAGGUGGUUCUACAAGUUAGUAGAGAAACUCCGGAGCUCAACGUCGGAACUACUACUAAAACUGUUGGACUUGAGUGCAGGAGGGGCAAGCGGAAUUCCUAGUGUAGCGGUGGAAUGCGUAGAUAUUAGGAGGAACACCAGUGGCGAAGGCGGAUUGCUAGACUGUAACUGACACUGAGGCACGAAAGCGUGGGGAGCAAACAGGAUUAGAUACCCGGGUAGUC